rnacentral:rRNA from 1 species
CCUACGGGAGGCAGCAGUGGGGAAUAUUGGACAAUGGGGGCAACCCUGAUCCAGCCAUGCCGCGUGUGUGAAGAAGGCCCUCGGGUUGUAAAGCACUUUCAGUGAGGAAGAACGCCUGGUGGUUAAUACCCAUCAGGGAAGACAUCACUCACAGAAGAAGCACCGGCUAACUCCGUGCCAGCAGCCGCGGUAAUACGGAGGGUGCGAGCGUUAAUCGGAAUUACUGGGCGUAAAGCGCGCGUAGGUGGCUUGAUAAGCCGGUUGUGAAAGCCCCGGGCUCAACCUGGGAACGGCAUCCGGAACUGUCAAGCUAGAGUGCAGGAGAGGAAGGUAGAAUUCCCGGUGUAGCGGUGAAAUGCGUAGAGAUCGGGAGGAAUACCAGUGGCGAAGGCGGUCUUCUGGACUGACACUGACACUGAGGUGCGAAAGCGUGGGUAGCAAACAGGAUUAGAUACCCUGGUAGUC